rnacentral:rRNA from 1 species
GUGAGGAAUUUUCCGCAAUGGGCGAAAGCCUGACGGAGCAAUGCCGCGUGAAGGAUGAAGGCCUAUGGGUUGUAAACUUCUUUUCUUAGAGAAGAAUAUUGACGGUAUCUGAGGAAUAAGCAUCGGCUAACUCUGUGCCAGCAGCCGCGGUAAGACAGAGGAUGCAAGCGUUAUCCGGAAUGAUUGGGCGUAAAGCGUCUGUAGGUGGCUUCAAAAGUCUCCUGUCAAAGAUCAGGGCUUAACCCUGGGCCGGUAGGAGAAACUCUGAGGCUAGAGUUUGGUAGGGGCAGAGGGAAUUCCUGGUAGAGCGGUGAAAAGCGUAGAGAUCGGGAGGAACACCAAAGGCGAAAGCACUCUGCUGGGCCACAACUGACACUGAGAGACGAAAGCGAGGGGAGCAAAAGGGAUUAGAAACCCUUGUAGUCC